AGCGAACGCUGGCGGCAGGCCUAACACAUGCAAGUCGAACGAAAUCUUCGGAUUUAGUGGCGGACGGGUGAGUAACGCGUGAGAAUCUGGCUUCAGGUCGGGGACAACCACUGGAAACGGUGGCUAAUACCGGAUGUGCCGCAAGGUAAAAGGCUUGCUGCCUGAAGAUGAGCUCGCGUCUGAUUAGCUAGUAGGUGGGGUAAGAGCCUACCUAGGCGACGAUCAGUAGCUGGUCUGAGAGGACGAUCAGCCACACUGGGACUGAGACACGGCCCAGACUCCUACGGGAGGCAGCAGUGGGGAAUUUUCCGCAAUGGGCGAAAGCCUGACGGAGCAAUACCGCGUGAGGGAGGAAGGCUCUUGGGUCGUAAACCUCUUUUCUCAGGGAAGAAAACAGUGACGGUACCUGAGGAAUCAGCAUCGGCUAACUCCGUGCCAGCCGCCGCCGUAACAC
rnacentral:rRNA from 1 species